rnacentral:rRNA from 1 species
UCAAGCUACAAAGGGCGCAUGGUGAAUGCCUUGGCAUCAGGAGCCGAUGAAGGACGUGAUAAGCUGCGAUAAGCUUCGGGUAGGCGCACAUAGCCUGAGAUCCGAAGAUCUCCGAAUGAGGAAACUCACAUGGGAAACCCCAUGUAUCAUUAAGUGAAUACAUAGCUUAAUGAAGGUAACCCAGGGAACUGAAACAUCUAAGUACCUGGAGGAAGAGAAAGAAAAAUCGAUUUUCUUAGUAGCGGCGAGCGAAAGGGAAAGAGCCCAAACCGGAAACUUGUUUCCGGGGUUGUGGACAUAGCAUAGAAGUGGAGGCUAUUGUAACUGAAGAGAACUGGAAAGUUCCACCGUAGAAGGUAAUAGUCCUGUAAGUGAAACGAGAAGACCACGAGUUAUGAUCCAGAGUACCACGAGACACGUGAAACCUUGUGGGAAGCAGGGAGGACCACCUCCCAAGGCUAAAUACUACCUGAUGACCGAUAGUGAAGCAGUACCGUGAGGGAAAGGUGAAAAGAACCCCGGGAGGGGAGUGAAAUAGAACCUGAAACCGUGUGCCUACAACCGCUCAGAGCCCCUUAUGAGGGUGAUGAGGUGCUUUUUGUAGAACGAGCCAACGAGUUACGGUAUGUAGCAAGGUUAAGUACUUAAGGUACGGAGCCGAAGGGAAACCGAGUCUGAAUAGGGCGACUAGUUGCAUGCCGUAGACCCGAAACCGGGUGACCUAUCCAUGGCCAGGUUGAAGCGAGGGUAAAACCUCGUGGAGGACCGAACCACGUUGCUGUUGAAAAAGCAUGGGAUGAGCUGUGGAUAGCGGAGAAAUUCCAAUCGAACCCGGAGAUAGCUGGUUCUCUCCGAAAUAGCUUUAGGGCUAGCGUCGAGUAUGAGUAGUGGAGGUAGAGCACUGAAUGGGCUAGGGGGCAUAGCGCUUACCGAACCUUAUCAAACUCCGAAUGCCACAUACUUUGAGCUCGGCAGUCAGACUACGAAUGAUAAGAUCCGUGGUCAAAAGGGAAACAGCCCAGAUCGUCAGCUAAGGUCCCAAAGUGUAAGUUAAGUGGGAAAGGAUGUGAGAUUUCUAAGACAACUAGGAUGUUGGCUUAGAAGCAGCCAUUCAUUAAAAGAGUGCGUAAUAGCUCACUAGUCGAGAGAUCUUGCGCCGAAAAUGUAACGGGGCUAAACUUACCACCGAAGCUACGGGCUUGAACUUAGUUCAAGCGGUAGGAGAGCGUCGUAACCGGGCUGAAGUCGUACCGUAAGGAGCGGUGGACUGGUUACGAGUGAGAAUGUUGGCAUCAGUAGCGAGAUGUGGGUGAGAAUCCCACAGGCCGAAAACCUAAGGUUUCCUCAGGAAGGUUCGUCCGCUGAGGGUUAGUCGGGACCUAAGCCGAGGCCGAAAGGCGUAGGUGAUGGACAACUGGUUGAUAUUCCAGUACCACUACCAUCGUUAUUAUCGAUGGCGUGACGCAGGAGGAUAGUGUGUGCUAGCUAUUGGAUGCUAGUCUAAGCGUUUAGGCAGUGAGAGUAGGCAAAUCCGCUCUCAUAAUGCUGAGGCGUGAUGGGGAAGGUUCUACGGAACCGAAGUACAUGAUUCCACGCUGCCAAGAAAAGCGUCUAGAGAGAGAAGUAGUGCCCGUACCGCAAACCGACACAGGUAGGUGAGGAGAGAAUCCUAAGGCCGGCGGAAGAAUUACAGUUAAGGAACUCGGCAAAUUGACCCCGUAAGUUCGCGAGAAGGGGUGCCUACGAGAGUAGGCCGCAGAGAAUAGGCCCAAGCAACUGUUUAGCAAAAACACAGGUCUCUGCUAAAGCGUAAGCUGAUGUAUAGGGGCUGACGCCUGCCCGGUGCUGGAAGGUUAAGGGGAACACUUAGCGCAAGCGAAGGUGUGAACUUAAGCCCCAGUAAACGGCGGCCGUAACUAUAACGGUCCUAAGGUAGCGAAAUUCCUUGUCAGGUAAGUUCUGACCCGCACGAAUGGCGUAAUGACUUGGGCACUGUCUCAACUGUAAAUCCGGCGAAGUUGUAGUGCGAGUGAAGAUGCUCGCUACCCGCGAUUGGACGGAAAGACCCCGUAGAGCUUUACUGUAGCUUAGCAUUGAGUUUUGGUAUUGUCUGUACAGGAUAGGUGGGAGACUAGGAAACCAGGGCGUCAGCCUUGGUAGAGUCAACCUUGGGAUACCACCCUGACAGUACUGAAAUUCUAACUGGCGGCCAUGAAUCUGGUCACAGGACAUUGUUAGGUGGGCAGUUUGACUGGGGCGGUCGCCUCCUAAAAAGUAACGGAGGCGCCCAAAGGUUCCCUCAGAACGGUCGGAAAUCGUUCGAAGAGUGCAAAGGCAGAAGGGAGCCUGACUGCGACACCCACAAGUGGAGCAGGGACGAAAGUCGGGCUUAGUGAUCCGGUGGUACCUCGUGGGAGGGCCAUCGCUCAACGGAUAAAAGCUACCUCGGGGAUAACAGGCUGAUCUCCCCCAAGAGUCCACAUCGACGGGGAGGUUUGGCACCUCGAUGUCGGCUCGUCGCAUCCUGGGGCUGAAGUAGGUCCCAAGGGUUGGGCUGUUCGCCCAUUAAAGCGGCACGCGAGCUGGGUUCAGAACGUCGUGAGACAGUUCGGUCCCUAUCCGUCGCGGGCGUAGGAAAUUUGAGAGGAGCUGUCCUUAGUACGAGAGGACCGGGAUGGACUGACCUCUGGUGUACCAGUUGUUCCGCCAGGAGCACAGCUGGGUAGCUAAGUCGGGAAUGGAUAAACGCUGAAAGCAUCUAAGCGUGAAGCCAACCUCAAGAUGAGAUUUCCCAUAGCGUAAGCUAGUAAGAUCCCUUGAAGAACACAAGGUUGAUAGGUCGGGGGUGUAAGCAUGGUAACAUGUUCAGCUGACCGAUACUAAUAGAUCGAGGGCUUGACCAA